rnacentral:tRNA from 1 species
CAAGACGUAGCUUUAACAAAAGCAUUCAGCUUACACCUGAAAGAUGUCUGCUAAACCGGAUCGUCUUGA